rnacentral:rRNA from 1 species
GGGCUCACACAAGCGGUGGAGCAUGUGGUUCAAUUCGAAGCAACGCGCAGAACCUUACCUGGGUUUGACAUGCCAGGAUUAUCCCUGUGAAAGCAGGGUAGGCCCUUCGGGGUACAACUGGUACAGGUGCUGCAUGGCUGUCGUCAGCUCGUGUCGUGAGAUGUCGGGUUAAGUCCCUUAACGAGCGAAACCUUUACCCUUAGUUACCAGCGGGUUAUGCCGGGGACUCUAAGGGGACUGCCGGUGUCAAACCGGAGGAAGGUGGAGAUGACGUCAAGUCCUCAUGGCCUUUAUACCCAGGGCCACACACGUGCUACAAUGGCGUUCACAAAGCGACCCUAAACUGCAAAGUCAUGGAAAUCGCAAAAAUAACGCCCCAGUUCAGAUUGGAGGCUGCAACUCGCCUCCAUGAAGUUGGAAUCGCUAGUAAUCGCGGAUCAGCUACGCCGCGGUGAAUGUGUUCCUGAGCCUU